rnacentral:lncRNA from 1 species
AUCGCGAUCGGACGGUCCAGAUUAAAUAGCGAUGGACGGCUCAGAUUAAAAGCGGAAGGUUAUAAAUAAUCUCAUCCACACCUAAACCCUACCCCUAGCCGCCAGAGCCCUCGCCGAAGAAGACAAUCCAGCCACCGGGGAGCCGACCGCCUCCACCCGCCGCCGCAUCGGAGCACUUUUCAGCCGCCAAACGAGGUAAAAAUUAUUCCCUUGGCUUAGAAUUCGAUUCUAAACCCACAUGUGGCCAAAUCGGAGCCAAAACACCAGCCAAUUGGCCGAAAAACGCUGCCGAAGUCCAGCGGCACUGGCCACGAGUUUUUUUGAUUUUUGCCUCCGAUGAGGCCCUUUUCGAUUCCUGUUCGAUGUAAUUUUUCCAUUAUUGUAACCACCGUUCCUUCCUCUACAGGUUGACCGGAGCAAAACACCAAAUGACGACUCGAGCCGGAGGAGCCGCCGCACCGGAGAGCCUUGCCGCCAGUAAGUUUCAGUUUUCGGUGUUUUUUCGGCCCACCGACAACCCUAGGGGUGUUUUCUCACAGGAACCAAU